UAAUAAUCAUAUUGAAACGAAUGACGACGUUUUGUAACUCCCAUAAGAUUAUCGAGUUACCAAAACUCAGGCGAGAGAGAGAGAUCAGAAACGGAAGAGAAGAAUAAUUCAGUGAAGAAUGAGACUACUCUCUCCUCUGAUCAUCACUCAUUGAUCAGAUUUGCAUUUUUGAGUCUCCAUUUCUGAAUCAUCCAAUCCGAUCGACGUUCUCCGGUAUUGAUUUCGUUGAUCGGGUUUUUGUUAAGUUUUU
rnacentral:sRNA from 1 species